GUCGAAUGGUUUAAGCCAGUCCACUAGACUUGCUAGCUGCUAUUAAACUUUCAAAGGCAUACUCAAUUUUAAGUCCCAGCCAAAGAACAACUUAAAUAACAAUUGGACCCAAAGAAGAAAGUCUCGAUAAAUCAAUUGGACCAACAAGAGACGGCCACAAUUUCUAUUAUCAUUAUUCCCUAGUACAAAGGACACAGUGAGCUUGUAAAGCAUAGAAGUCCAAGGUAUGGUGAGAAACAAGCUAAAAUAAACAGAUUAUUUGAGCACUUGCAAGUCCACCUUGCUACCAAGCCACCGACAGGCUUAGUUUUUCACAGUUGUGACAUGCUUCAGGAGCAUGUUGAUAAUGUCAUGAGAUAUUCUAGCAGACUCAUGCUUCAAGUGACUAAUUCUUGCCUCUGUCUCUUUUUCAAGCCGCUGAACGUUAGAACUUGAAUCUCCACUAGUCUUUAAGGGCCAUUUGAUGUUUAAAAAAAAAAAAGUAAGCACAUAUGCAGUAAAAUCACAGCCAUAUCACAUGAAAACAACCAAAGGUAAAUGCUUUGAAGAACUCCAUACACAUGGAUUUUCAUGAUUUAAGGUUCCUUUUUGUUGGCAUGGAUACAUGCAUUGAAAUAUAACUCUUAUUUACCCCUUCUACUUUCCUCUGAAAUUCAUGCUCCACUUGGACUUGAUAUUCAGCAAUCGUUCUAUCAGCUUCUUCUUUGGCUUGUUUUAGUCUGGCCAUUUUUGCAUUUCUAGCAUCAUUGACAAUGUGUUGAGCUUCUUGCUCUGCAGACAGCAAAUGCUGAAUUCCACGUUGGCUCAUAGGAGCUUCCAUGAUUUCCUCAAAUUCCACGCUCUCAAGUGUAGCAACGAAGAUUCAGACAAUAGCCAGGCGAGGAAGCCGCCAACGAAAUUUCGUG
rnacentral:misc_RNA from 1 species